UACGGGGGGGGCAAGCGUUGUUCGGAUUCAUUGGGCGUAAAGGGUGCGUAGGUGGCAUGGUAAGUCGGAUGUGAAAUCCCGGGGCUCAACCCCGGAACUGCAUUCGAUACUGCUGAGCUAGAGUACUGGAGAGGAGAUUGGAAUUUACGGUGUAGCAGUGAAAUGCGUAGAUAUCGUAAGGAAGACCAGUGGCGAAGGCGGAUCUCUGGACAGUUACUGACACUGAGGCACGAAGGCCAGGGGAGCAAACGGG
rnacentral:rRNA from 1 species